GACGAACGCUGGCGGCGGGCUUAACACAUGCAAGUCGAACGGAAAGGCCCUGCUUUUGUGGGGUGCUCGAGUGGCGAACGGGUGAGUAACACGUGAGUAACCUGCCCUUGACUUUGGGAUAACUUCAGGAAACUGGGGCUAAUACCGGAUAGGAGCUCCUGCUGCAUGGUGGGGGUUGGAAAGUUUCGGCGGUUGGGGAUGGACUCGCGGCUUAUCAGCUUGUUGGCGGGGUAGUGGCUUACCAAGGCUUUGGCGGGUAGCCGGCCUGAGAGGGUGACCGGCCACAUUGGGACUGAGAUACGGCCCAGACUCCUACGGGAGGCAGCAGUGGGGAAUAUUGCACAAUGGGCGGAAGCCUGAUGCAGCAACGCCGCGUGCGGGAUGACGGCCUUCGGGUUGUAAACCGCUUUCGCCUGUGACGAAGCGUGAGUGACGGUAAUGGGUAAAGAAGCACCGGCUAACUACGUG
rnacentral:rRNA from 1 species